rnacentral:rRNA from 1 species
UGCCAGCAGCCGCGGUAAUACGCAGGGUGCUAGCGUUGUUCGGAUUUAUUGGGUUUAAAGGGUGCGCAGGCGGAACUUUAAGUCAGUGGUGAAAUCUUGCCGCUUAACGGUAAAAUUGCCAUUGAAACUGAAGUUCUUGAAUGUAGUUGAGGUAGGCGGAAUGUGUCAUGUGGCGGUGAAAUGCAUAGAGAUGACACAGAACACCGAUUGCGAAGGCAGCUUACUAGACUAUCACUGACGCUGAGGCACGAACGCGUGGGGAGCGAACAGGAUUAGAUA